rnacentral:lncRNA from 1 species
AGCCAUAUUGAUUAUUUGGUUAAAAUGAAUAUUCGUGUUGUGAAAAAUUUACUGAAAUGAAUUAUUUUUAAUUGUCUCCCUUUACUCGCCUUUAAAUAGUUUAGAUGGUGUCUGUUUACUCACUAGGAUUAUGUAAUCAUAAUCUCACCCCUCUUCCUAUCCAUUUUUCAAGCUCAGGACAGUUUGUUGAUAGUUGAUUAAGACGAGAAUUAAUCUCGGAGUUGCAUCCUAGAAAGUAAGGGUUCGUAGCCCUACACCUUAUUGGUCAGUUGAGGGCCCAUAUGUCACUGUAAAAAUAAUUUUAUACUUCAGUUAUCUGAUUUAAAGUAUGUAUGAACAUAUUUAUCUUUUACACCAUGUUUUUGGCGGGUUUCGGUAUUUUUGAAGAAAAAUGACGAAAAUGCCCUUGUGAG